GCAGUCUCCAGGGGAAGUGUCCAAAGACACCAAGUGGAUUGAUAGUCAUUGUCAAUGUGGAGGAAAACCAGGGAACCGUCGUUAUCACCAUCUUGCCUAAGGAAUUCCGCAGUCAGCCAGUCAAAACAACUCAUUGAGGGCCUGCUGGGUGCUGCGGCUGUGGGGGACACAUACAGGUGGGUGAAGCCACAGCCUCUUCGGCCUCAUGGAGGUGCCUGCCUGCUUCUAUCCUUCCUUUUGCCCACCUGUCCUUUCUCUCCAGAUCGCCUUUCAGCCCUUACAUUCUUCCACAUUCUGUUUAUAAUAGAUUUCAUGUGUGCAGCACAGCUAAAGUUUCUUGAAACCCUAAGAGAGGAAUCGAAGGAAAGCAGCUCUGGAAAAGCCCCAGAGAAGGAGAUACUGAAUCAGAAUGCAAAUCCCAGAGGGCUUCAGAGAGAAGGAGACCCCCUGAGUUGCCCUGAGGGAGGAGCAUAUGAAGGGUGAAGCAAGAUUUGAUCUGGGUAAGGGGAAGGCUGUGAUUUUUUAGCUGGCAGCAUCUCAUCUCUCUCUUCAAGCCCCCAGAUGUUUCUCAGAAUCUCCCCUUUGCCAUUCUAGGGGCCCUCUUGGCAGAAAGAGGUGCUCGCCUCCCACCAUGGAAGUUCAAGGCUCCAGCUCCCUGCUCCCUGCCCUGUGGCAGCUCCAGGUGGGCAUGGAUAUGGGCUGAGCUGGUCAGAUGUCCAGCCCAGGACUCUAUGUCUUGAGAGAGCCACCCACAGGCUGCAGAAGACUGAGGAAGGCUGAAGGAAGGCCACAUGGUCCCUGCCAGCUCCCUAGAGAGCCCUUCAGACUGGCCGCUUUUUGUAAACAUAAUGCCAGAUUCGGUGGUGGUUGAGCCCCUCACUUUUCUGUCCCUUUGCUCUCUGUAGGCACGUAUCUGUGAAUUACACAUAGUAUUAUUCUGACUGAUUUUGCAUUUUAUACAGAAUUAUCAAUGGCAAGUAUCCUUCUCGCACCCUGCUUAGUCUGGCUCAGUGUUGUAUUUUUUGAGAUUUAUCUAUGCCGACCUUGGUAGCUAAAGCUCAUUCAUUUUAAUAGCUGUAUAGUUAUUCCAAAGUAUGACUACCACAGAACUGCCCAGAUGAGCCACAGAUUUAAGUGCAAUAACAAAAGCUUAUAUUUUAAGCAAGCAAGUUUUGGGUUGUUUUGUCAUGUAGCAAUAGCUAACUAAUGCAGACAACAUGUGUCUUCGGAUUUAGCCACUACAGACAGAGAAAGCAGGCUAACGUGUCUCUUGGUGCCCACACAUGUGAGCAAUUCUUAGAAGUGCACGCAGAGUUGGUGUCACAGGUGGGGAGAGUUUGUCCAUCAUCAGCUAAUCUGGAUCUUCUGGCCGCUUUCUGAACUGACCCCAGUGAUUCUGUGCCCUCCCACUAUCUCCUCAAUGAAUUCCCAUUUCCCCUAGACAAUGAGAGGAACCAACCAGCAGACCUGAACUUGUAAACAAUAAUCAAUGGUUAUUUUCUAACUUCGUUUUUAAUUAUUGUUACUGAUUUGGAGGACGUUUUGUUACAUGGCAAUUGUUGAUACAGCUACCUAAAUCCAGCUGCAAUUGAAAAGCACCCAUCAGCCAGGUGCAGUGGCUCAUGCCUGUAAUCCCAGCACUUUGGGAGGCCAAGGCAGGCGGAUCACCUGAGGUAAGCAAUUUGAGACCAGCCAGGCCAACAUGGCGAAACCCUAUCUCUACUAAAAAUACCAAAAAAAUAGCCAGGCUUGAUGGCAGGCACCUGUAAUCCCACCUACUCAGGAGGCUGCGGUAAGAGAAUUGCUUGGACCUGGGAGGCAGAGGUUGCAGUGAGCUGAGAUCAUGCCACUGCACUCCAACCUGGGCUACAGAGCGGGACUCCGUCUCAAAAAAAAAAAAAAAAAAAAAAAAA
ensembl:lncRNA